UACAGAGGUCCCGAGCGUUGUUCGGAUUCACUGGGCGUAAAGGGUGCGUAGGUGGCUGGGAAAGUUUGAUGUGAAAGCUCAGGGCUUAACCCUGAAAUGGCAUUGAAUACUGCCUGGCUGGAGGUUUGGAGGGGGACUGGAAUUCUUGGUGUAGCAGUGAAAUGCGUAGAUAUCAAGAGGAACACCAGUGGCGAAGGCGAGUCCCUGGACAACACCUGACACUGAGGCACGAAAGCUAGGGGAGCAAACAGG
rnacentral:rRNA from 1 species